rnacentral:rRNA from 1 species
UUAACACAUGCAAGUCGAACGGAAAGGCCCUGCUUGCAGGGUACUCGAGUGGCGAACGGGUGAGUAACACGUGGGUGAUCUGCCCUGCACUUCGGGAUAAGCUUGGGAAACUGGGUCUAAUACCGGAUAGGAACCAUCUUUAGUGUGGUGGUUGGAAAGUUUUUUCGGUGUAGGAUGAGCUCGCGGCCUAUCAGCUUGUUGGUGGGGUAAUGGCCUACCAAGGCGGCGACGGGUAGCCGGCCUGAGAGGGUGUACGGCCACAUUGGGACUGAGAUACGGCCCAGACUCCUACGGGAGGCAGCAGUGGGGAAUAUUGCACAAUGGGCGCAAGCCUGAUGCAGCGACGCCGCGUGGGGGAUGAAGGCCUUCGGGUUGUAAACUCCUUUCGCUAGGGACGAAGCUUUUUGUGACGGUACCUAGAUAAGAAGCACCGGCUAACUACGUGCCAGCAGCCGCGGUAAUACGUAGGGUGCGAGCGUUGUCCGGAAUUACUGGGCGUAAAGGGCUCGUAGGUGGUUUGUCGCGUCGUCUGUGAAAUUCUGGGGCUUAACUCCGGGCGUGCAGGCGAUACGGGCAUAACUUGAGUGCUGUAGGGGUAACUGGAAUUCCUGGUGUAGCGGUGAAAUGCGCAGAUAUCAGGAGGAACACCGAUGGCGAAGGCAGGUUACUGGGCAGUUACUGACGCUGAGGAGCGAAAGU